CCUGUUCGAGCGUCAUUUCACCAAUCGAGCCUCGCUCGGCCUUGGGCGCCGCGGUCCGCCGCGCGCCCCAACGUCUCCGGCUUCGCGACCAUCUCGAAGCGUCGUGGUAACAGACUCGCUUCUGGCUCUGGGACGGGGAGGCCGUUAAACUCCACACCAAGGUUGACCUCGGAUCAGGUAGGGAUACCCGCUGAACUUAA
rnacentral:misc_RNA from 1 species